UUCAGUCGCUAACAAGCAUUUGUCCAAUCAGUUGUCACAUUUUCAAAACUCUAAACACAAUUAGCACAGCAUCGGUCUUUUGUGGCCAUACCAUUAAUUCAUUUCAUGUCGUUUUCACACAAUAUGCAGUCAGUGAACACAUUUCCACAAUACUUACAUUUUCUUAACAGACAAGCUAUACCUCCCACCAAAAUUAUGGAUUGUUUUUGUAGUAUUUACAAAUGCUUACACACAACAUCUCACAAUGACAAAAACAAUAUUCCAAACCAUAGAUACAGUAUAAAAAGCUUUAUAUUGGGUAAAUUGGGCCAACCACAGCUGAUUCCAGUCUGGCUUAGGUUAUUUUUUCUUUUACAUUGAUACUUAUACAGUAAAAGGAGGACUUUGAGGAGUGAUGUUUUUGAAAACAGAAACAGACAAACACUGUUAUGUCUGGACGAGGAAGCAAGGGGCACAUGGAGAAGAGCAGGCCCAGUGAGAGGUGCAGUGAGAGAUGCAGGUGCAGAGAGAGGUGCAGUGAGAGGAGCAGUUAGAGGUGCAGGAGCAGUGAGAGGUGCAGGGUCAGUAAGAGGAGCAGACCCAAGGAGAGCGCAAUGUAGAGGUGUAAGAAUGCAUGGUGGUGGCAUUCCAAGGGCUGCAAGAACAGUAGUCAGUGAUGAAAUUCAUUGAUUUCAGUAAGAGAGGCUGGUGAAAGAGUGCAGCCCAAUUUUAGGAGGUUGCCUCCAUUAUACGCAUCUUUCAACAAACCAACAGAAUGCAACGUCUUCCACCCUCUGGGAGAAGAGGAAAGCUCCUCAAAAAUGAUCAAGAUCAAUACUGUAAAACUUUUUCUGUUCUAUCAUAUUGUGUUUCUACUUUACCUCCUGUAGUCAAGAGUAAGGGGAAAAACUGAUUUUUACUGAAAUGCUUUUGAAUAUGAACAUUGCUGUACAUGU